rnacentral:rRNA from 1 species
UACGAAGGGGGCUAGCGUUGCUCGGAAUCACUGGGCGUAAAGCGCACGUAGGCGGCUUUCUAAGUCAGGGGUGAAAUCCUGGAGCUCAACUCCAGAACUGCCUUUGAUACUGGGAAGCUCGAGUCCGGGAGAGGUGAGUGGAACUCCGAGUGUAGAGGUGAAAUUCGUAGAUAUUCGGAAGAACACCAGUGGCGAAGGCGGCUCUCUGGUCCAAUCCUGACGCUGAGGUGCGAAAGCUAGGGGAGCAAACGGG